GGUGGUAAAGAUCAAUCAUUGUUAGAUAAUAUGAUUUGUUUUAUUUUAAAACAAAUAUUUAUAAUUUUAAAAGUUAACAUCGACAAAUAGUUAAAUAUUUAACAUAUGGAGGUAUUGUAUUACAACAUUAAAUUAUAUCUAUUUAAUUUGUACUAUCUAUAAAUCCAAUGGAUCAUCUAUUCUUUAAAUCCAAUUAUUGAUAGCCCAAUAAAAAUUUCUGGUAGGCCCAAAAUUUAAAUGAUAAGAUUAAAGAUUAAAUGUAACAUAACUUUCUAUGAAUAAGUCCAUUAGGUCUAUUUUUAAAAUAUAUAGGAUCUUGGAUUCUUGAUCAAUGGUUAAUGAACAACCAAAAUCUAAAUUAUUCCACCAAAUUAGCAUAUCCAAUAUAUAAGUGAAUAAAACAUAAAAUGUCUCAAUAAUAAUUUAAAAAAAAACAUAUAAUAUAAGAGAUUUUGUUUAAUUAUUUUAGGAGAUAAUUAAAGGUUUCAUAUUUAAAUAAACACAAUUUUCAUAUCUUAUCAUUUUUUAUUAUUACUCAUAAAUUUCUUUUAUUUUAAGACUUUAAACUAAUUAUGUUUUGUGUAAAUGUUGCAAAUGCUAUAAGUUUAUAUUGGGUAUAUAAAACAAAUUUUCAUCCAUAUAAAAGUGAAUAAUAUAUUAUAUUACUUUUCUACAAAAUCUGUAUAUUUUUAAAAUAUAAUUUUGCUUACUUGAAUAUCCAAAAGACAUUAAAAAAAAAAACAAUUCUACUUAUGUAGAAACAUUUAAAACUGCAAUCAAUCGUAAAUUUUGAUUAUAAAAAAUGGAAACAUGGUCAAACUCUAGUUUUAUUUAAAUUGUGCCACUGUUUUGUUAUAUAUGUAGCAUGUAAUUUAGCUUUUAUAACCGAGUGUGUUUCGAUUUCUGUUUUAGUUGUUGUUUUUAGAUGAAGAAGAAGAAACCUUUUACAUGGACAUUUUUACAAAAAAAAAAAGAUAUCAAAAAAUUCUUGCAGGAAAAUGCGAGAAGAUCCUCUGGUGGUCAAUAAAAACAAAACUAUUUCUAGACUGAAAUUUUUUUCACUUAAACUAAAGCGUCUUUCAGACAAUAGAGAAAUACUCCCUUUGUUCUUUAUAGAUCUAUUUUUUAGAAAAAAAAUUUGUUUUAAAAAGAUACAUUUUUUACAUUUUCAAGACAUUAAUUAAUGAAAAUUUGUACUUUUCAGAAAAUACAAUUGUGUUUAAUAAAAUUUUAUUGGUUAAAAGUUAUUGAAAAUAGCUAAUUAAGGAAAACAAUGUAUUGGAAGAUACAAUUUUAAAUGUUUUCUUAAUAAGUGUGAAAAAACUAUAACAUGGAUCUUUUAGGAACGGAAGGAGUAGUAAACAGACAGACAAAUCAAAAGCCGAAAGAAGUCAACAUCUUAGUGUUUAAUGAAACCUGCGGAGACUUGAAGCAAGCAAGCAAUUAAAUUCUACUAUAAUUCAUGCGUCAGAACCUGGGAAAAACAAACGUAAACUCGAUUUCUGUGUCACGUAAAGUGCAGAAGAACUCUUACUUCGACGCUGAUGUGUGUCCUUUUAAACCAACAAUCUCCUCUAGCUGUCUCCAGAAACACUAUUCUGCUGUUCUGUGUCACCAAAUUACUGACAUGUUCCUUGAGCAUAAAGCGCGUUCCGCUACCUACACACAAAAGCAGUAAGUUAAUGAAACAAUUCAAGACUAACCACCUCUAACUAAUUUUCACUUGAAAAGUAAGAACUGCUCAGUUGCAAUUUAUUAUAUUUACAGUAAUGCCUACAUGUUACUCGAACUAUAUACUCAUAUAUAAGUGUUCAGGUUUGUAUGAUUCACAGAUUCUUGCACUAAUGUGCUUGACCAGUUAUUUCAACUGUAUCUAAUUAUUCUCUCAUCUUGCUUGUGAUCAUGGUUAGAGCCUAAAAUCUCAAAUAGUUUAUGACUAUUCUUUCAUUAAUUGGUGUCCGGUUUUUUGACAGAAACUAUAGGUAGGAUUGACAUUUAACCAGUUUUUAUAAAUUAGUAAUAAAUUUAAGAAAAAAGGUAUAUUCAAUACCUUCUUUUGGUUUGGCUGCUUGGCAGGCGGGGGCCGUUUCUCUCUGUUCUCUGCUAGUGGCGGUGCACCGUGCUUCUUGUGGGACAUCAAGAUUGGUUUCUGUUGGAACUCGUUUUUGACAAAGUGGUGUGGACCAUUUUUUUUAUGGGUUUUUCGACGGAGACGUCUGUUGGAAAGACCGGAAUUUGGAUACGAUGUAAUCGUCACCGUGAAUACUAUGAGUUAGUGUAUUUGUUGGUCAAAAUCGGAGUUGUUUUGAAUGAAAAAUGAAGGUCUAAAGUGAAUGACAUGAAAAGCUUAUAAAGCUAUUAUAUGGUUAAAUAUAAAUUUUAACAAA